GUGGCUUAUAUACCCGGGUAGUCCACGCCGUAAACGAUGGAUACUAGCUGUUGGGAGCAAUUUCAGUGGCUAAGCGAAAGUGAUAAGUAUCCCACCUGGGGAGUACGUUCGCAAGAAUGAAACUCAAAGGAAUUGACGGGGGCCCGCACAAGCGGUGGAGCAUGUGGUUUAAUUCGAUGAUACGCGAGGAACCUUACCAAGGCUUAAAUGUAGUUUGACCGUUUUGGAAACAGAACUUUCGCAAGACAAAUUACAAGGUGCUGCACGGUUGUCGUCAGCU
rnacentral:rRNA from 1 species